rnacentral:rRNA from 1 species
UACAGAGGGUGCGAGCGUUAAUCGGAAUUACUGGGCGUAAAGCGUGCGUAGACGGUUCUGUAAGUCGGAUGUGAAAUCCCCGGGCUCAACCUGGGAAUUGCAUUCGAGACUGCAAAGCUUGGGUGCGGAAGAGGGAAGCGGAAUUUCCGGUGUAGCGGUGAAAUGCGUAGAUAUCGGAAGGACACCAGUGGCGAAGGCGGCACACUGGCCCAUUACUGACGCUGAGGCGCGAAAGCGUGGGGAGCAAACAGG